rnacentral:rRNA from 1 species
UGCGAGUCUAGAGGCCUAGCCUCGGCGUACCGCUCAGUAACACGUGGGUAACCUACCCUAUGCUGGGGAAUAAGCUCGGGAAACUGAGAAUAAUACCCCAUAGUCCACUACGCCUGGAACGGUGAGUGGAUCAAAGCUCCGGCGGCAUAGGAUGGGCCUGCGGCGUAUCAGGUUGUAGGGGGUGUAAUGUACCCUCUAGCCAUCCACGCGUACGGGUGUUGGGAGACAUUGCCCGGAGAUGGAUUCUGAGACACGAAUCCAGACCCUACGGGGUGCAGCAGGCGCGAAAACUUGGCAAUGCGAGAAAUCGUGACCAGGGAACUCCAAGUGGCAGGGGUAAGACCCUGUCUUUUUCCGACUCUAAAUAGGUCGGCGAAUAAGGGGUGGGUAAGGACGGUGCCAGCCGCCGCGGUAAUACCGGCGCCUCAAGUGGUAGUCGCUUUUAUUGGGCCUAAAACGUCCGUAGCCGGUCUGGUACAUUCGUGGGUAAAUCAACUCGCUCAACGAGUUGAAUUCUGCGAGGACGGCCAGACUUGGGACCGGGAGAGGUGUGGGGUACUCUCAGGGUAGGGGUAAAAUCCUGUCAUCCUGAGAGGACCACCUGUUGCGAAGGCUCCACACUAGAACGGAUCCGACGGUCAGGGACGAAGCCUAGGGGCACGAACCGGAUUAGAUACCCGGGUAGUCCUAGUGUAAACGCUGUGGACUUGAUGUUGGGGACGCUCCGAGCGUUCUCAGUGUCGAAGCGAAAGUGAUAAGUCCACUGCCUGGGGAGUACGGUCGCAAAGGCUGAAACUUAAAGGAAUUGGCGGGGG